GACGAACGCUGGCGGCGUGCUUAACACAUGCAAGUCGAACGGAAAGGCGCGGAUUUUGUGGGGUGCUCGAUUGGCGAAGGGGGGAGUAACACGUGAGUAUAAUGCCCUUGACUUUGUGGUAACUUCAGGGAACUGGGGCUCAUACCGGGUAUGAGCUCUUGCAGCAUGUGGUGGGUUGGUAAGAUUCGGCGGUUGGGGAUGGACUCGCGGCUUAUGAGCUGGUUGGGGUGGUAGUGGCGUACCACGGCUUUGACGGGUAGCCCGCCUGAGAGGGUGACCGGCCACAUUGGGCCUGAGAUACGGCCCAGACUGCUACGGGCGGCAGCAGUGGGGAGUAUUGCACAAUGGGCGGAAGCCUGAUGCAGCGACCCCGCGUGCGGGAUGCUGGCCUUCGGGUUGUAAACAGCUUUCGCCUGUGACGAAGCGUGAGUGACGGUAAUGGGUAAAGAAGCCCCGGCUAACUACGUG
rnacentral:rRNA from 1 species